GAGCGCCGUAGCAAUACGGAGCGGCAGACGGGAGAGUAACACGUGGGAACGUGCCCUUCAGUUCGGAACAACCCAGGGGAAACUUGGGCUAAUACCGGAUACGUCCGUAAGGAGAAAGAUUUAUCGCCAAAGGAUCGGCCCGCGUCUGAUUAGCUAGUUGGUGAGGUAAUGGCUCACCAAGGCGACGAUCAGUAGCUGGUCUGAGAGGAUGAUCAGCCUCACUGGGACUGAGACACGGCCCAGACUCCUACGGGAGGCAGCAGUGGGGAAUAUUGGACAAUGGGCGCAAGCCUGAUCCAGCCAUGCCGCGUGGAUGAUGAAGGCCCUAGGGUUGUAAAGUCCUUUCGGCGGGGAAGAUAAUGACGGUACCCGCAGAAGAAGCCCCGGCUAACUUCGUG
rnacentral:rRNA from 1 species